GUUCUUGUUAUUUUGAGAAGAAAUCCAAAAAUGGAUCAAAAAAUAUUCAUGCACCUCUCCAGUGCAGGAUAAACAGGAUGCUGCAGAUGUGGAGGAGGGUAAGCAGGAGGAGAAGCAACCAGUUUGCAAUACUCUAGCAUGGCAAUUGACUGGAAGCCAGGAAAUCCAACCACAUAGUCAUUCCUUCAGCCUGCAAGAAAAGGUGUUAUGAAGAAACAUCUGCCUUUAUGUGUGAGUAUUCCUAACUGGG